AGAGAUCAAAUUAUGUAUAUUAAGGUAAAAAGGCAGUUAGAUAUAAAAUAUAAGUGUUGGUUUACUAAUUUUUUAUAAAAAGGUAAAAUUUAAAUAUAAACAAAUAACUUAAUGUAAGUCAAUUAAAAAUUGAAUCUGCGACAGCCUUGAGGGAAACUGGGAUUAGAUACCCCAUUAUUCUUGGCUAUAAAUGGAUAUAAAUUUACCAGAGUACUAUGAAUCAAUUCAAUAAAAUUUAAAACUCAAAGGGCUUGGCGGUGUUUUAGACCUCUCAGGGGAACCUGUCUCAUAAUCGACAAUCCACGUUAGACCUAACCUUUGUUUGCAAUUCAGUUUGUAUACCGUCGUCGUCAGGUAACUUUUAAAAAAUAAGAAGUUGGCAAAAGAAUUAUUUAAACUUAAACGUCAGAUCAAGGUGCAGCCUAUACAAAGGUGAGGAUGGGUUACAAUUAAAAUUUAUAAUUACGAAUAGGAUAAUGAAGCAUUUUUCUAAUGAAGGAGGACUUGAAAGUAAAAUAAAUUAUAUAGGCAAUUUGAAUAAGGCUCUGAAACGUGC
rnacentral:rRNA from 1 species